GGAAGGGUGGCUGAGCCCGGUUUAAGGCGCUCGAUUCGAAAUCGAGUGAACGGGAAACUGUUCCGUGGGUUCGAAUCCCACCCCUUCCGCCA
rnacentral:tRNA from 2 species